rnacentral:rRNA from 1 species
UGGGGAAUUUUGGACAAUGGGGGAAACCCUGAUCCAGCCAUGCCGCGUGAGUGAAGAAGGCCUUCGGGUUGUAAAGCUCUUUCAGCCGGAACGAAACGGUCACGGUUAAUACCCGUGACUACUGACGGUACCGGAAGAAGAAGCACCGGCUAACUACGUGCCAGCAGCCGCGGUAAUACGUAGGGUGCGAGCGUUAAUCGGAAUUACUGGGCGUAAAGCGUGCGCAGGCGGUUUUGUAAGUCAGAUGUGAAAUCCCCGGGCUUAACCUGGGAACUGCGUUUGAAACUACAGAGCUAGAGUAUGGGAGAGGGAGGUAGAAUUCCACGUGUAGCAGUGAAAUGCGUAGAGAUGUGGAGGAAUACCAAUGGCGAAGGCAGCCUCCUGGCCUAAUACUGACGCUCAUGCACGAAAGCGUGGGGAGCAAAC